GGUUAAGCGACUAAGCGUACACGGUGGAUGCCCUGGCAGUCAGAGGCGAUGAAGGACGUGCUAAUCUGCGAAAAGCGCCGGCGAGGUGAUAUGAACCUUUGACCCGGCGAUGUCCGAAUGGGGAAACCCAGUGCAACUCGUUGCACUAUCGUUAACUGAAUACAUAGGUUAACGAGGCGAACCGGGGGAACUGAAACAUCUAAGUACCCCGAGGAAAAGAAAUCAACCGAGAUUCCCCCAGUAGCGGCGAGCGAACGGGGAGCAGCCCAGAGUCUGAAUCAGCUUGUGUGUUAGUGGAAGCGUCUGGAAAGUCGCACGGUACAGGGUGAAAGUCCCGUACACGAAAACACACUUGCUGUGAACUCGAAGAGUAGGGCGGGACACGUGGUAUCCUGUCUGAAUAUGGGGACCAUCCUCCAAGGCUAAAUACUCCUGACUGACCGAUAGUGAACCAGUACCGUGAGGGAAAGGCGAAAAGAACCCCGGCGAGGGAGUGAAAAAGAACCUGAAACCGUGUACGUACAAGCAGUGGGAGCACCCUAGUGGUGUGACUGCGUACCUUUGUAUAAUGGGUCAGCGACUUAUAUUCUGUAGCAAGGUUAACCGUAUAGGGGAGCCGAAGGGAAACCGAGUCUUAACUGGGCGUUAAGUUGCAGGGUAUAGACCCGAAACCCGGUGAUCCAGCCAUGGGCAGGUUGAAGGUUGGGUAACACUAACUGGAGGACCGAACCGACUAAUGUUGAAAAAUUAGCGGAUGACCUGUGGCUGGGGGUGAAAGGCCAAUCAAACCGGGAGAUAGCUGGUUCUCCCCGAAAGCUAUUUAGGUAGCGCCUCGUGAACUCAUCUUCGGGGUAGAGCACUGUUUCGGCUAGGGGGCCAUCCCGGCUUACCAACCCGAUGCAAACUACGAAUACCGAAGAAUGUUAUCACGGGAGACACACGGCGGGUGCUAACGUCCGUCGUGAAGAGGGAAACAACCCAGACCGCCAGCUAAGGUCCCAAAGUCAUGGUUAAGUGGGAAACGAUGUGGGAAGGCACAGACAGCCAGGAUGUUGGCUUAGAAGCAGCCAUCAUUUAAAGAAAGCGUAAUAGCUCACUGGUCGAGUCGGCCUGCGCGGAAGAUGUAACGGGGCUAAACCAUGCACCGAAGCUGCGGCAGCGACACUUAGGUGUUGUUGGGUAGGGAGCGUUCUGUAAGCCGUUGAAGGUGUGCUGUGAGGCAUGCUGGAGGUAUCAGAAGUGCGAAUGCUGACAUAAGUAACGAUAAAGCGGGUGAAAAGCCCGCUCGCCGGAAGACCAAGGGUUCCUGUCCAACGUUAAUCGGGGCAGGGUGAGUCGACCCUAAGGCGAGGCCGAAAGGCGUAGUCGAUGGGAAACAGGUUAAUAUUCCUGUACUUGGUGUUACUGCGAAGGGGGGACGGAGAAGGCUAUGUUAGCCGGGCGACGGUUGUCCCGGUUUAAGCAUGUAGGCGGAGGUUCCGAGUAAAUCCGGUUCCUUUUAACGCUGAGGUGUGAUGACGAGGCACUACGGUGCUGAAGUAACAAAUGCCCUGCUUCCAGGAAAAGCCUCUAAGCAUCAGGUAACACGAAAUCGUACCCCAAACCGACACAGGUGGUCAGGUAGAGAAUACCAAGGCGCUUGAGAGAACUCGGGUGAAGGAACUAGGCAAAAUGGUGCCGUAACUUCGGGAGAAGGCACGCUGAUAUGUAGGUGAAGUCCCUGCGGAUGGAGCUGAAAUCAGUCGAAGAUACCAGCUGGCUGCAACUGUUUAUUAAAAACACAGCACUGUGCAAACACGAAAGUGGACGUAUACGGUGUGACGCCUGCCCGGUGCCGGAAGGUUAAUUGAUGGGGUUAGCGGCAACGCGAAGCUCUUGAUCGAAGCCCCGGUAAACGGCGGCCGUAACUAUAACGGUCCUAAGGUAGCGAAAUUCCUUGUCGGGUAAGUUCCGACCUGCACGAAUGGCGUAAUGAUGGUCGGGCUGUCUCCACCCGAGACUCAGUGAAAUUGAACUCGCUGUGAAGAUGCAGUGUACCCGCGGCAAGACGGAAAGACCCCGUGAACCUUUACUAUAGCUUGACACUGAACACUGGUCCUUGAUGUGUAGGAUAGGUGGGAGGCUUUGAAGCGUGGACGCCAGUCUGCGUGGAGCCAUCCUUGAAAUACCACCCUUUAAUGGCUGGUGUUCUAACGUAGACCCGUAAUCCGGGUUGCGGACAGUGUCUGGUGGGUAGUUUGACUGGGGCGGUCUCCUCCUAAAGAGUAACGGAGGAGCACGAAGGUUAGCUAAUCCUGGUCGGACAUCAGGAGGUUAGUGCAAUGGCAUAAGCUAGCUUGACUGCGAGAGUGACGGCUCGAGCAGGUGCGAAAGCAGGUCAUAGUGAUCCGGUGGUUCUGAAUGGAAGGGCCAUCGCUCAACGGAUAAAAGGUACUCCGGGGAUAACAGGCUGAUACCGCCCAAGAGUUCAUAUCGACGGCGGUGUUUGGCACCUCGAUGUCGGCUCAUCACAUCCUGGGGCUGAAGUAGGUCCCAAGGGUAUGGCUGUUCGCCAUUUAAAGUGGUACGCGAGCUGGGUUUAGAACGUCGUGAGACAGUUCGGUCCCUAUCUGCCGUGGGCGCUGGAGAAUUGAGGGGGGCUGCUCCUAGUACGAGAGGACCGGAGUGGACGCAUCACUGGUGUUCGGGUUGUCAUGCCAAUGGCACUGCCCGGUAGCUAAAUGCGGAAGAGAUAAGUGCUGAAAGCAUCUAAGCACGAAACUUGCCCCGAGAUGAGUUCUCCCUGACUCCCUGAGAGUCCUGAAGGAACGUUGAAGACUACGACGUUGAUAGGUCGGGUGUAAGCGUAGCGAUACGUUGAGCUAACCGAUACUAAUGAACCGUGAGGCUUAACCUU
rnacentral:rRNA from 1 species